GAGGUUUGUGCCCUAUCUGAAGAGGAAUGUUGCUGUUGCUGCAGAGUGAUGCCUGUGCCCGAGGAGGUAGUGAGCUGUUCAGCAACCCCAGGCUGUGACCCUGCCUGCACCGAGGGCCCAGGGCCAGAGCUGUGCCAGCACCACGGACUUGUCUGCCAGAAUACAGCAGUGGUCUGACUGCUUUGGAACGAGGCUGCAGAGAUGCCAUGGAUCCAGAUACAUCAGACCUCAGCUGCCAAGAUCAAUCCCAAGCAACAUUGAGACAAGAGGCAGAAAGGUUGGCCUGGUGUCAGACUGCACACAGAAAUCUGCUUUCUCUCCUGAGCUGUCAGAGCAAGGAGGAGGGCAGUGUGCUGGGGCUAUCUGCAAAACACAACAGCAUGGAAGAACUGGGAUUUUGGUUGUUGAGGAGAGAAAGCACUUGGGAAGUGCUUCAUUCCUGGAGGAACUAUUGGAAACUAGUGAGCCAGAAUGGAGCCAUUCCACAGCCCAGCCUGGUCCUGGUCCAGACACUCUAUUGGAUGGCACAAGCAUCCCUGCACCAGUGAUGAAUUUACCUCCCAGAGGGGAAGAUUUCAUGUGGUGAUGAUUGUUUCAGCUCUUCCUCUUCUUCUUUGUGAAGGUCCCAGCCCUACAAAGCAGACACCAAAGUGAAUCACACCAUUGCACUGUCGUGCCACCAGCCAGGGGCUCAUCUCCCCAGGGAGUUUUCCAGUGCUGCUUGCUUGCUGCUUUCUUCUUGGCUUUUUUUUUCCUUUAGCUUUCAGCACACUUUGGUGAAAAAAUGGGUGUGAAUCAUUUUUCAUGAGAAACUUCCAUUGCAAAAAGUGCUUUUUUUAGGAACUCAGCAUUUUUAUAAGUGAAAUGCCAGAAAUCUCACAAGCUGAAGCUGAAAUGUGCUGGUUGCAACAUUAGGUGCUAACAGUUGGCAAAGCUUGAGUCCCAGUGGCUAAAACACCAGAGAAAAUGGCAGACAGUUCCUUGGCUUUUAAAUCUGGGCUGGCUCGCUGCUGUGACAGGAGGAGAGAGGGUAGGACUCGGCUCAGGCUGGUUGGCUGUGAUUGACACGUUUCAUGGACAGCUUUUUAUGGCUCUCAUCAUGGUGACGUUCUGAUUGCCUUCCCAGCGCUAAUGAAGAUCUCCUGUCAUGGGCCUGCAAGGUCUCCAGACUAAUGCAUCAUGACAUCUCGAUUACAGGAAGUGUGGAUGGCCUGCCUCCUCUCUUCUAGGAUGUGAUCACAUCAGGGGAAUGUUCACCAGCUGCCUGUGCUGGAUUUGCCCCAUUUCUACACCAGCAGCCAUGCUCAGGGUCCCCAGCUGUCCCCUGUACCAGUGGAGGGAAAAACACAGGGUACGUGUCCCCACACUACUGUCAGACCUCCCUACUGACAUCUUUGAAGAUACAAUGCUUCUAUUUGUGCUCCUGUGUACCUGCUGUCCUUAAAAACUUUAAAAAAUAAGAAGAGGGAAAUUGCAAAGCCACUGGACCGAAACACAGUGGUGUGCAGUCAGAAGUCGGUGCGUCCGUGUGCUACAGCCACGGAUGCUGUGUAAGUGAAUGAGAGAAUACAACCCACAGCUGUAGUGAGAGUAAUGAAAUGUUUUGUGACUGAGGCUGCCUGGCCUGGUAUCUGCAAUAAUCAAAUCCUGGUAAGGCAAUUUAGCAACUUGUGUUUUUUUUUUUUCCAAGGGAAAACAGUUGGUUGUUCUUUUAUUCCAUCAGCUAGGCUGUGCAUUCCACCCACUCCCCUCUGGCUGCUCUGCCUUGGCCGGGCUCUGCUCUCCUAACUGCCUGCUCACCACAGCUGGACUUGCAAGGCUGGACUGCCACUGAAGCCAUCCUGAGCCUCAUGACUGUCCGAGUCCAAGUCCCUGAGCAGAACUGCUGAGUUUGGACACUCCAAGACAGAGGCAAAAUUCCUUAGCUCAUCUCCAUGCAAACAUGAUUAUUGCCAUUAAAUACACACUGUGAUACACAAUGUCUCUGCAAUGCUCCCUGAUGAGCCCAUGCACCAAACCUAAUGGCUGCUGCUGUAACCAAACACUGAACUUGGCUGUGGAGGCACCACUGCGAGCUCGGCUCCCACCACUGAUGAGUGGUCUGUGAAGCAGCCUAAUGAUUUUCUAGGGGUCUGAGAUCAUGGUAACACCAUGAGAGUUGCACAGAAAAAGAGAUAUCUCCUUCCUUUCCCUCCCACUCCCUGCAAGGCUCAUUUUGCAAACUGCAGCUGCUGAAAAUGGAAAACCAGCUAGAGCAGCACCACUCCGACGGUGUUAUGGAACUGGGAUGCUGCAACAGAAAUCUGCAGGUGGAGGAUGAACAUGCUGGGCUUCCAAAGUACUGGGUUUCAGUGGACUUACUCUCCCAUUUGUGAGACAAUAGACUGAGGAGCCGGUGGCACCACUGCUACGUGGAUAUGGUGACAAUGCCCUGUCUCCUGCCAGCACCACCAGGUACAUCUGUGGCCACAUCCUGCUGGUGCAGCUGAUGGCUGCCACCCUGCAGCACUCUAUGGCUGUCCCCAGGCUUGGCUCAAGACCAGAAGCCUGCAAUUAAACUAGAAGAUACUUCAUGACAAUGAACCCUCAUCCUGGUGGCCACGUGGCUCAAGGCCCAUGGGCAACAUCCUCCAUUGCACGGUCUGGUCCUAAUAACCAUGAGCAGGACUCUGAAAGGAGAGAGAAUCUUGAUGGAAAGAAGCACAUUUGUUCCCGGGGCAGCUUCUGGACAUAAAGCUUUUCCCUCCUGUAACUGUACAAUCUACAGGAAAAGAGGUAAAAGCCUUGUUACUGACUGUGCUAAUGCCAUUGAGAUGUUCAACAUGAAUGUAAGUUGUCUUCAGUCUGAAUCUUUGUUGCAGCUGCUGUCAACACCACAAGUGAAGAUCCCAAAAUAUAAAGCAUUUUGAACUCACUCUUUUCAUUUCCUUUUCAUUAUACGAGGACGAUACUGCCUUAUCUCAAAGACACACUUGCAUAUUUGCACUCUAUAAUGGAGAAACAGCACUACAUACAGGUCCCUGAAAGUAAACACCAAACUCUGUAAAUCUUGCAUAUAAUUAGGAAAUUUCUUCUGGAUUUAUUAUUUUUUCCCCAAAGCUGUUACUGCUUGAUUUGGCUGUCAUCUGUGUCACUUCUAUGGAAAGAUUUUCUCUGUUAGAAAGGGAAAAUCAGAGCAGCAAGCUAAUAACUUGUUACAACAGGGAGAUUUAAGGAAGAAAAUAAUGAAGCCGAGCUGCUGACAGCACUGUGGUGGCUGUACCUCCUCUUUAAGUGGAACCAGCCAGGAUUACCCUUUGUUUUAGAGAGUCCCUCUUAGAAAGAACCCACACAAACCUUGGACUGGAUGGACACACAAACAUCCUUCAGACUGCAAAGAAAACAGCUUCCCCCAUAAAUAUCCCCAGCCCAAGAUCAACAACACAAAUUUGGUCUCAACUUUAUAACUUUGAUUUAAUUUCCUACUAUAUUAAUUUUGGCCAUUCAAUCUCAAUGAUUUGUUGUGACCUUGAUUUGAUUGCUUAAUUGGCUUAGCAAAGCCUGGAUGCAUUAGCUCUGUAACGCGCUUGCUUAUUCUUUCUUGUAAGAUCUAUAAAAAUAAGCAGAACUUAUUUUACAUUAAAUAGCAGUCAAGCUUAGAAAUCCCAGGCCAAAGAUAAUCUCAGGUAUAUGGAGGGCACUCUCUAGUCUAGUUCAAUCUUGCCUUGUUCAGAUCUGGCAAUGUCUGAGUGUUGACAUGUGCCCUUCAGUACAACUUCCUAGUUUGAGAUCACUGUCCAGUAACAGCUUGGCUGAGGCAUGAGCGCUCAUUUUUUUCUCAGGUGACUUUUGUGGGGGUUGUUUCUGCUGAUAGAAGCAGAGUUUGGAGCAGCUGGUGGCAAUACCUUCUGCAGAGACAGUAAAACUUUCUCAUAUGCUUUGCUAUCAUCAUUAUACCUGACUGAACCCAGUCUCUGCUGCUGAUUUUAAGCUUGCUGAUGCAAUGCAAUGGCAUUUCUGAAUUUGCUUCAUUUGCAUUUAAACAAUCAAGAGUUUUAAUUAAAAUGCAUAAAUGAAUCAUGCACUAGAAGCCCUAUCUCCCAUGUUAUUUAUUUUUUAUAUUAAACCUUCAGUUUGAUGGAUAAGCACUGCCAUUGGUCAUUUCUGCUAAAAUGAUCCCAUCAGCAGUGAAAUAUCUGACAAAUCUGAUGUUAAAUUUUUCAUCCCUAGCUUUCAGCACUUGUGGUCCAUUGAGAUAAAUAGUACGUCUCACACUUUUCAUCUAUUCUUUGAAGCUCUCUGGGACCAGCACUUCCUUGAAGAGGGAGAGGUAUAGGUCAAAGGAUUGUUUGAGAUCCAAACAGUGCUCUCCUUAUGGCUUUUUUAUAUGGCCUAGCACAUCCACAGUGGUGAGAGUGUCUUUAACUUCUUCAGUGUCUUACAUUUGUGACAACUAUUGCUUCUUUCUCUCUAGUGACAGAAUUUUGGUUUUUGGUACUGACCUGUUGAUGAAACAGAAAGUGAUGUGGACUUUCUCCUAAAUAAAACCCAUUUUCUUAAUACUUUUUAAAAAAUUAUUAUUAUUUUUACCCUGUGACAGCGUUAUCUGCAGUCAUCACAGAAGUUCCUGCUACUUCCAGAAUGCACUGCUUUGCAGCAUGGUACUGAAAUUUAACUCCAAGGAAAGUAAUUUGUCCCAAGAACUGCAUCCUAUAGAAAAUAAGGCAAAAAACACACUCUGCUGGUAGCUUCUCUCAGAGGAUUACUGUAAAACUAAGCUAAUAACAAUGCAACAUUCCUUCAAAAACUGAAAUCUUGCUCACAUGCUAAGAAGCUAUAAGAGUAACAGCAUCAUCUGGUGGCUUCUGCCACAAAGAAUGGAUUAAUUGAUUUUUAUUUUUUUUUUUGGUUCUACUUUCAUUUAAAUUCCUCAUCUCUCAGGUGAGGCCAGGUCCUGAAGGAAUGUGUGAGAGUUAAAACAGACGGAAAAGGAUAAAAAUGAGAGGAGGUAAUAAUGAAAUCCGCAGCUAUACUGAAACAUUAAACUGCAUCUGAGUAUCUCAGAUCUUUUUAAAAGGAUUUUUUAAAGAACACUGAAAAACACCAUCCUCAUUGAAGUCAAGCUUCAUUUACAGCAAUGCCAGAUGGGUUGGGAUUUUCGAAGCAUGCAUUAAGAACAGGAACAAUGCUGCUAAAGGCCUUGAACCUUAGAUAAGGAUUGGUGUAAACCUCCACAAAAUCUUAAGACAAUUCCUUUUCAUCAUUUCUUUUGUAAGUGCCAGAUCAAAUCCUUCAAACUCCUCCUGCAUCUUCCUUUCAGAAUUCUUAUUAAUGAUCCUCUUAACACUUGGAGAGGUGGUAUGUAAAAAUGAGAUGAACAUACAUUAUUUUCAAAAGAGUUUCUGCUGCGAACAAGUGCUAUUGUGAUUAUGACUGUAAAACAAGCUAAUCCACCAAAGCUUACAUCUAUGGUUAGUGUAGUACUGUAGGCUGAAUCAGCCUGCCUGAGGUAUUAAACCUCCCCGACCUUAAUGGGCUGAAGAAUUCCCAGAAAUGUCCAAGGUCCCUUGUAAGAAGUUUACCACGACCCAGAUGAAGCAUAAGGGCCAUACUAGCCCACAGAACCCAAAGUCUCCAGGAUUAGUUGUUGCAAAAGCUUAUUAACAAGGCAAUAAAAUGAAAAUUAUUCCUUCUGGCUUUAUUGGUGCAUGAUGUCUGUUUUACAUUCGUACAGUUUCUGUCCUAUCCUUGGCAGUUGUCUUCUUUGUUGUAUUCUUACAAAGAGAGAAAUAUCAAAACAUUAAUUUAAGCUGUCACAAUGCAAAGGGCUGACAGUCAUAUAAAGAAUUAUCAUUGUGGCAGAGAAUGAAGACAAGUUAGCGAAGGAAAAUUAAAGUGACUAGCUAAACAGAACCAAACUUCUUGAAAAAUCUAGGAUAUUGCCAUGACAAUUCGAAUCACUCCAACUUUUUCUUUUUGUGUUUUCAGCACUUUCCUACACAGCCUAUUAUCAAUCUGAUAGGGAAAAGAAAGAAAAAGAAAUCGCUUCACACGUAGUCUAGUUUCAGUGAAAUAUGUAUUUCAAAAGAGAAGAUUCAUCCUGUACCAGUUUAUGCAAUAAGAUAAAUUGCAACUAACAUCAAUCUUUGUAAUUUUCCAUAAUUGUAGAAGUCAGACUGACCAAGAUUAUAGCCUGUCUAAUCUUUUUUGCUAAUGCAUACCAUAUAGAAAUGUUUCUUUGUCCUCUCCAGGUCUUUUUUGCAAAACAAAAAUUAUUCCUUUCUAGCAAACAAUAAGAUUCCUGCAGGUGGUGGCUUGGGGUCUCAAAUUGCUUUGCAUAUUCUUAAGAAUAAUUUUAAAUACUUUACAAAUAAGAAAAGGAAGAGACUGGUUAAAAGAAGAAAAUAACCACUUUACUCUUGUGUUAUGAUUUUUAGCUAUAGCUCUUGGGACACUUUACUCUGGCUCUGAAGAAAGUGAGAGCAUGAGAGACAGUCUCAAGGUGCACGUCGAUGCCCAGCAAGCCAGAGCACUGCAACCUGAAUAAGUUGUUUUCUCCAGCAAAGAAAAUCAACAGGAUCUGUGUCAUAGGACAGGUUUUCAAUGCUUAGUCUUGUGCUCUGGCCUCUCAUCAUAUGCUACCCAGCUAAGAGGUGGAGGCUAAGAAUUAAAUGCAAAGAGUUGGUGAAACUCCACAUCCCAUCUUCCACACAAAUGUCUGCUGCCUUCUAGCUGUGGUAUCUGCAGUGCAAAUUAAGUCAGUCAGCAUUGCAGUGGCUAACAGAUCAGAUUACUAAUGAAGCAUGAGUCCACAAGAUUGCUUUAUAUAGUCAAAAUUCAUAAUUAAUUCCCAUACACAUAAGCAAUCAUUGAGUUCACUCAGCUAGCACAUCAAAACCCGAUGAAAACACCAAAGGCUGAGCAAAUCAGUCUUCCCAAGGUAGAUGAAUGAGAGGCUUACAUGACUAAUGCCAGCAGGACAGAGGCACAAAACUCCCUGUGGAUGUAAGGACAUAAGAUCCUUUCCACUUGUUCAUCAUCCUUACCUGUCUUUAAGUACUGUAAUCCUGGAAUUAGAAAAGCAGAGUGUUUAGAAACACCGCAGUAGGUUGUGUGUGUAUUCAGCAGCAGUAGGCAUUCAAUCCAAUCAACCCCAAGAGCAGCCUACCAGCAUUGUCUGGUAGAGCAGGUUGGCCAAGGCCUGAUGUGUCCUCGCAGGGUUGGACCCUCUGCAAGGUGAAGUCACACCUAAAACAUCAGUCCAGAUCAUGAGACAGAAAAAAAAUAGCAGGGAAGGACUGCAAUCACUAUUACUCUCCAAAUAAAUCAGAUGUACAUUAUGAGUUGGGAAAGCAGACAAGAAAACACUUAGAAAUGUAAUAAAUGUGAAUUGCUGCAGUCACACCAAACACAGCUUCAUUCCCCUAAUUGUAUCAAUUAUUUUUUAUGAUUGUGAUCUCAAAGAUGUUAAGUUUUGUAAGAAGACUUAUUUGCAAAUCACUUUGAUUACUACCUGUGCAUAGUGUGAAUGUGUUUAAAAGCUUCUGCAUAUUCUCUUUGGCCCUCUGAUCCCCUGUUGCAGCAUCCUGAAUCAGCUGGGAGAACAUUAGGCACUUUAGACACUUCUACUUGAAGCAUUCAGACAGUCCUGGAAUUAUUGGGGUAACUCAAAUGGAAAGUCUUUGUCUAAGCUGUCCUUUCAUUGAUCCCAGGGCUCUUAUGACAGACUUUGCUUUUCAUAUUUCUGUGUCUCUCUUUCAUUUUUUAAUCAGAUAUGUUUUACUGUGAGGAAGAAUUUGACCAUUUGCUAUUGUGUUCUAAGAAAUAAGCCUACUAGACCAAGCAUUCAAGGUAAUUUCAUUUCUGCAAUAGGAAGUAUAAUUGAAGAAUCAUAUUUUCAAUGUAAGACACUAUCUAAAACUAGUCCCUGGUAUGAACCCUGGUCAACUAUAUACAAUCCUCUUUAAUAUGGCCUUUGAUAGCAUUCAUUUAGCACUCCAGUGCAAAGCCUCCAAAAGGGCAUUGAAUGAAAUUAGUUUCCAAAAGGACUGGAACAGUAACAGAAGUAUCUUCCUCUGAAUUAAUGGCAAUCUUAAAAUCUCAACUGCUUUGAAACAGCACAUUAAUCCACAAUGAAAAUGUUUGCAUAGCAUUAAAAAAAUACAAACAGGAUUAACAAAGAACUUUCCAAGGACAAGAUAUAUUCAAUUCGAUUUUAAGAGUGAAAGGAAAGUUAAGUGCCUUAACUUUUUUUUUUUUUUUUUUAAAAAGAGAGAAUUAGAGAGAGACAUUAUAACUAGAUGAGAGAAAAAACUAACCCUGCCCUCCUCUUCCCCAAACACCAACUUGAAUAUUGCAAAGUUUAUUUAGUAACCAUCUAUCACCAUCACAAAUGUAAAUCUAACUGCUCAUUGAUGCAGCAUGCCUGGCAAUGGGUCUGUAACACACUUGUCACAAACACUCUUUCCAGGCCAUGCUGUAAGGCAGCCUGAGCCUGUAAGAGCCCCUUGUACCCCAGAGCUCCCCAAUGCUCAUACCAGGAUCAAUAACAGCAACUUCACUGGUGCAAGGAGUAAGAUCUGUGAGCAGAUCUUUUUGGAAGUUUUUGGUCAUGCAGCUCUACAGACUGUAAAGGGAAGCACCACCUGAAUAAUUAUUCACCAAAGGAAGGGGAGGCACUUCCAGAGCAGGAAGUCAUCCCCUUUCAGACUCUAUUUUAUGGUGGCAUGAAGUGACUCCUCUUUUUGUUGACUGCAGAAGAAGAUUAAGCAACAAGCUUAGACUAGAUAAUAAAGCUUCAGAAGGCUAAAAUUAGAUUGGGGGAAUCCUACCCAAAAUAUUUUCGGGUUUGGUCUUCAGCUAACCUACAGCUAGCCCAUUUCCCUGAUAAAGUGUGUGAAACCAUUCCCCCAGCAAAAGUUUGCCUAUUAUAAUAUACACAGUCUGGAUCCAGAAAGCAAUGAGCAAAAAGCUUCUGUAGGACAGAGAACAAAAGGCUGCCAAAAGAGGAGCCAAUUGCCUUGACUGCGCCUUCAUGAGGACACUGGUUCCACCUAGAGUCUAUGUUUCUCCUUGAGACUUUUCACCAGCUUCUCAUUUCUCCUUCGUGUUCCCUUUUGGGCUGAGCAGAGCUGUAGCACCAGAUCUGCUCUUACCAUCACUGUUCAAAGAGCAGUUUCAGUGCUAUGCAACACGAGUAAAGGACAAAGGUAGCCUGGAGUGGAGGUGAGAUUCUGAAAGAUGAAACAGCAUCAUCUACAAAUUAUCUACCUGAAAGAUAUGGGCUUAGGAAGGCUCAUCCUCCUACAGCAGAAACAAAUUCUUACCCUGGUCCAGUCUCUGACUUCAUUUCUCCAUCAAGUCAGGGCUGGCCUGGUGACCACUCUGCUGAAUGUGCUGAAUGCAAGAUGAAGCCUUCCUGCCCUCUCUGUCCUGUUCCUCACUUUUAAACCUGCACAUCUGCACACACAUCUCAGCACCUGUGCUGGGGGACCUUGUUUCUAAAAGUGAAUUUAGAAUGAGAUGAACAGGGAUUGUUUAGGGAGCAAAGAGCAAACCUCUUUUAAGCCUUAAAACUAUUCUUAGUAGAGUUUCUGAUUGCUCCAGGGUAUAUAUGUGCUCACAUGUAUGUUAGAAGUGCAGCAAAAAUGAUUAAACACACGAGGGAAGAGGCUUCCAUCUAAAAAGUGAUUAAAAAGACUAGCAUUGUUUAGUUUACAAAACACAAGAGUAAAAGAUGAUAUAACAGAAGCAGGGAGAAGGGGCUAUUUAUUUUGUUUUCUCUGAAGCACAAAUAUGCAUGGAAAGGUGAAGGAAAAAUGAUGAAAACAUUUGCGCAGUGUAUAAUCAACCCUGCAACUCAUUGCUGCAGGAUAUUAGGCAAAUUUUUCAAAAACAUUUCUAAAUGUGUUUGAUGCUAUGAAUAAUAAGCCUCAGUUCCUGAGGUGAAGGAAAAGCAAAAACAAACCAUCUCCCCAAACUGGAAGGACGGUUAGUCCCUGUCCUUGUGCUUAGAUUGGUUAGAGAUGGAAUUUUUGUCUCCAGAGGGAUGGCAUUAUUUAUUUAUCAAGUGCAUGAUAUGGGAGUGCUCGUUUCCUUCAAGCGGGAGGUUCUGUAGAAGGCAAUUAAAGGGGUCAGCAAGUGCAGCUGUAAGAAGUCAUUGCCGAAAGAUUUGCCCCAGAAUACAUAAACUUAGUAAUGGUGAAGUGGCUUGGGUUCAGUUACUUUGUUCUCAGCUGGUUAUUUCCUCAAAGAACUUCAACUACAGCUAGGUAACAGUCAAGGCUGUGAAUGAAAAUGGAAUAAAAUAUAUUUAUGUCCUUGGAAACUUCUUCACUAAUCCUGCUUGUUUCUACACACUUGUACAUGCCAAGUAAACACUUUCGCUGCAGAUACAGCCUAUUUUGGGUAUAAAAGGGAAACUGUUGUACCUCCAAUAUUACUCCAAGUUAGCAGCGAGUGGAGUCUGGAUUUUAAUGGUCCCCUCCACACCAACCAGUGCUGAGAGCAGCCUGAGAGGGAGUCGAUCUGGGUGCUGAAGUGACAUGGCAGCCCAGUGCCACGCUGCUGGGGCUGCUGUCGGCUGUGCUCCCGCAUCCCGUGCGGCUGCAGUUGGUGCUGUCAGACCGGGAACGAGCUGGGGAGCAGGGAAGGUGCUGCUGUGAGCAGAAUUAGUACCUGCUUAAAAUGUAUAUGGAGAACAAACUGUCUUUUUAAAAGAAUUUUAAAUGCUACUUCUGGCUUAUGAAUAGUUUCCUUGCAACUGUCAGGCCAUCUGCUUGGAGAGGGGUCUGUGCAGUCAUGAAAAGGAUCUUAAAAUAUACUCUCCUCAUAAACAUCUUUUGUUUGGAAAAUCCACAUGCAUCACAUAAUGCAGUAAAUGGCAGCACAAGCUGAAGUGAAACAUUUUUAAAUGCCGAGGAUGCAACCUUGGAUACAGCUCCCCCCCCCCCCCCCCGCCUCCCCUCUAUUAAUAAGCACGCUUUAAAUGCACCCUCAGACACAUUCUCUUACAGCCUCAGAUUGGCAGCACCCACCUGCUGGGAAACAUGCUAAGAUAACUUCCUUGGGUACAUCCAAAAUACCAAACUGGGUUGUGGGCAGAAAAGAAACAGGCUCCUGCAAAGCAGCUCUCUCGGAGAUUACAUCAUUCUCACAGCCAAUUUUCUGCCUACACUGCACCAUUUUCUACGGGGUGUGUGUGUGUGAAAAAAAAAUAGCAUACGUUCGUGUGUACACAAUCAAAAAGGCCAAAUUAAGGAUGUGCAAGCACAUAUAAUUCUAGCAUUUCCUAACUUUUGGGAGCUUAGGUUUUCAGAACUGCUUGGUACGUGAAUAUAUACAAUAUAUACAUAUGCACAUAAACAUUUAUUUGGUUUGCAUGCUUAGAAUAUGAAAUCCUGUGUAUGAGAAGAGUGUUAUGCUUUCCUUACAUUUUUUUCUGUUUAUUUUCAUCAUUCUUUGGUCAUUUUUUGUUUACCCACUUUUUGUUAUUCUAAUGUAAGUUCAAAUAUACAAAAUGCUAAUUUGCUUUUACAUAAAAAUGUAAUAAAACUUUCUGGCUUUCUUUAUAAACAAAUUUUAGCAGGAAUGUUGAUGGGAUGCUGUAUACCAAGUAAAGAAGAAAUACUGUUUAAUUAUCUUCCAUAUAAAAUCCAAUAAAACGUUCUGGCUUUUCUUAUUUUUCUGUACUGGGGAUUAACAUCAGUGUCUUUGUGAUGAGAAAUCUGCAUUCAUGGCUCCUCUAUUUAGAUUUAAAUAGGAAUUAUAGUUCUUGGCAGAAAGGGAUCUGUCAAAUAUCACAGCAUUUGUGGCAGGUGGUCACUGCAUUGCUUAGUACAGACACUGCCUGCUUAACCAUAGCCUGAAGUAAACAUCAAAAGUCAAUUAUUCUCUUUGUAAAUAUUUUAUUUAUAUUUUGGAGGCUAACAAACAUCUUUUCAGUGCUUGGCUGAGACCUUCCUCCAUGGAUCAUAAUCCUACUGAACCUGCAUUUGGGUGGUUAAGAAUGUGUUUAGCAAUCCAGGGAUACCAGCUUAGCUACCACUGUAUAUUGGGUUUCAUAACCCAAUUCUCUGCUUCAAAACCUUUAAUGACUUGGCUGGGUUGAAGUGGACAGAGCUAAAACUUGUCACGGUUGUUACCACUGCAGCUGCCAAUUAGUACGACAACCAUGUAUUAUUUUGCCUUUCCUCAGUUAAACUGUAUUUUGAAUAUAAAUAAUGAAAAAGAAAAAAAACAAACAGGGUCCAUUUCCUUGGAUUUAACACUUUGGGGGAGGGAAAGCAGGAGGUCUGGUUUAAUAGCAAGAUAAGUGUGUGCACAGCGGCCCUGCAGUGGUAACUUGAAUGCACAGUGAGUAGCAAAUGUGGAACAAGAGCUGAACUCUGAGGGUCAAAUGCCUUGAAGAAAUGUCUUGUUGCAGGGUGAACCUACUAAAAUAAAAUGACAGUAUCUGGCAAGUUAUGCAUACAUGGCAGAAUCUCUCCCCAAACCACCAUGGUGUGGAAAACGUCGAAAGAUGCUGCAACACAUUUUAGAUCCUUAUUUGAACUCUGUCUGAACUCUUCGGGCCAUUAACUAAUCAGAUCAUCUCAUUUAAACAAUGUUAUAAAAAUAAUCAAGUACUUCUGCCUACAUAAAUACACUUUGAAUAUAUUUACCUUAAAGAACCGGGAUUUCUUGGGUGUUUACUCCUGACAUUCGGGAAACAGAAGGAGCACAAAAUAUUAAGGAGAAGCAGAAUUCUCUGAGAUGGGGCUCUGGGUAAUUUUCCCUGUAAGCCUGUUUGGUGGCAAGUUAAUUGACUCCCACAUUACUGAAACUGCAAUGUACUAAAGCACUGGGUGCUCGUUUUGCUGCACUAUUUGACUGGCAAAGGCCAUCUGUUCUAUCCCAUCCAUCCACAUGCACAGCGUCUAUUGUUGUCAACAGGAUUCACAUACACGUGGAUCAAGGCAAGCAUGUGCCUCAAACUGUUUUGAUCCCUAGAACAUGGAUUUUUCAUUUUCUUUGUUUCUUUGUGCUCACCCAGUAAUAAUACUUGUCAUCUGAGAAUUCAUAUUGAUCUUGUCAUUGCCUUAAAAUUGGAUGACAAUUACUAUCUCUGUCAAAAUUCGAUCUGAUGAAAUGGCUCCAAUUAGGAAGGAAAAAGAAGGAAUCCAUCACAGCAGGGAGCAUUGCAUUUGGCUUUAGAGUAGAAAAGCUUCUAUUAAACGGGAACUGUUGGAAGAAGCAAAUGGGAACAAGCUUGACAGAUAUUAGGGCACCAGUCUCAAAAUCCAUAGAAAUUAGGUAUACAUAUGAAAUGAAUAGCCAUUUAAUAUUUGCAGUCCGUAUCUCUCUGCAAAUCUGAGUUGAAGCUCCUCUGACAAUAAAUGCCAGUAACUGUUGUUUUCAUUUUCUGAUCUGGUCAGACACACAGUGGCAGUUGACGCCAGGCUUCCUACAUUUUCCAAUCCAGUUCUGAUCACCAGUGUAAUUAUAAUACAUUAUCAAGAGUAGAUUUGCUGAAGUUUUGGAAAUGAUAACAGCAUAAAUUACAUCUUGUUUCCAGAUACUGAUCUUACCUUGAAACUAAAUGGGAAGAGGUAGUGAAAGAAUUGAAAACAAAAGAGUGAGUGCACUUCCAUCGCUACUGAUAUUGACACUAAAGUAAAAAACUUAUCCCUGCCAAUUACAAAAAAAAUUGUGCUAAUUACAGAUUUUUUGGUUUAUAAAUUAGCCCUGAAAAACUAGCGCGUGCAUUUGUGUGUGUGUAGGGGUGGGGGAACCUUUUUCCAAACCAAAGAUGUUUGUUUCAUAUCAAGUUAAUGUUUUAUUCAACUAAAAAACCCUGACAGUGUUCUGUUUCUGAGGUCAGGUUCACCUGUAAUUCUGGGCAGGUCUUACCUGGGAGCAGAGAGAAGGAUGUUAGUGCUCAGCUCUCCACAAAGGACCGGAAGCCUCCACCCACCCAGCAGAAUAUCUCAGCUCAAGGCCAUUCUUGCAUUGGUUUCUCUGAAUUGGCCCAGUAAAUGCUGUUUCUUCACAAAUAAAAGCAUGGCAGGAACUGGCUUUUUGAUUUGUACAAUUAUUGAGCUUCUGAACAUGAGACUGCACAGUUUACCUCCCUGGAAAAUCAUGUUUUCUUAACUACAUGGAAGAGCUCCUCAAGACACUGAGGGAACCCAACCAAGCACACUAUGCCUUUAGCAGGUGGUGAUUUUCCAAGCUAAAAAUGUAGGAUCCGUGUGAUGCAGAGAUGAGUCACCACACCUCACACAGCAACAGGCUCUUCAGUGAAAGGAGGUAGGUGAGCUGGUGCUCACAGGUCUUCCUCUAGCAAGCUGGGUAGACAUGAUUUCCUUUUCCCCAAACCUUUCUCCCCCCACCUCUGUUUUCAUUAGCUAAAAACCUACUUACUGACUCUGACCUACAUUUGCAAUAGUUGCAGAAUGCAACAGAACUGUGUUUCUGGGGAAUUUGCUAUUUGCUAAAAAUUUUAAUCCAAGCCAUUUUGAAAUGUUAUAUGUUAACUGAGCAAACACAGCAAUCAGAAAAGUAUACAAACCCCAAGCAAUUGUCCUGGAUUUGUUUACAACGCACUGCUAUUAAUGAGCAUCUGGGAUGAGUAUGGGAUCUUGUACUAUGGAUCUCAUGAUCUGUACAAUAAUGGCUGAUUUUAAUUGACUUUUGCUUCAUAUAGCAAAUCCCAAUUGGAGAAGUUCCAGGAUGCUGCUAGUGAAGAACUGUGGGCGGGUGCAUGUUUUGAAGUGAUGGUAAACAUUGUGACAUAUACUGUGUGUACCACAUAUUCUCAUAUGCACAUUUUGACUUUUGUUGCCUUGGCUUUCACACAGCAUUUCUAACAUAGACAUUCCUAUUUGCCAGUUUGAGUGGAAAUCUGUUAAUAUGUGAAUACUGCUCGCCAGCACGUACCAGCAUCACUGGACUCUCAGCACUUCUCUUCUCCCAUGGAACACCCAGCCCUGCAUGCUCAGAGGGGCUCCACAGGACUGCAGCAUCUGUGUGAGCAGGACUGGCAGAGCUGCUAUGAGAAACCAUAACUCUGAGAACAUGUAACUCAGCUCAGUGAGUGAUCCACUAAUUCCCAAUGUAAGCCACAUCACCAAAAAGGCCUCGCUCUUUUACUGCCAUGGAUUCUAUUUGCCUUUCAAGAGAUGCUGGUAGCUAAUGCCAAAUUUGGUCAAGCUGUUUUAGCACUUGGAGUACUAUGGGUAUUAAAAUACCUUUAAAGGUCUGGGACUUUGAGCCAGAUUACCUGUAUGAUGUAUUUUAAUGACUAGCCAACCCUUCUGCUUGAACUGAAAUUUGUCCUGAAUCCACAGUAGCUCUUUGGGAAGCUGGACUCAGCCAAGAUUUGCACAGGUUUUUUAAUUUGAUGCAUUAAAAAGUCCCCUGCUACAUAUCCCAUUCUGCCUGGCUGCAAUAUCAUGGCCAAUAUUAGACUAACAAUUUGGUUUUAGGCUCUUUCCACAAAAACAUUUGCAUCACACAGACCAAAGCUACAAGGUAUUUAUAGGCACUGAAGCUAUGUCUAUCCUCUCCCUAGCAAUAAUGUGCCCUGAGCACAGGGAGGGUCUCUGCUGCUGCUCACACCACUGCCUGUGUCUCCAGUGAUGUGGCCAGAGUGUGUCUGAUAACAUUGCAGCAGCUCCUCCACUUUAGCCUUAAAAUAUUUUUUGAAAAGGAAGGAAAAAAAAAAGAGAUAAAUUUUCCUCAGUGCAGCAGAACCACUUCUCACAGAGUCCACCUGGUUGUUAGACAAGAAUCAGCAAGAGAGAUUUGCAUGUGUGAGGAAGCCAGUGUGAAGUAGCUGCUCGAAUCCACUGUGCUGCACACAAUGAAACGAAUGCUGGUGAAUGGGUGUUUCUGUGAGGUAAUACUUCCAUCACAUCCAAUUCUAAUGUUAUCCAGCACACUGCCUUGCCAAGAGCCUUCUUUGUAUUGCAGGAAGCCAUCUGUGAUGGUAACUAAAAUGGGAACGGAACAGGAUUCACUUUGGAGCGCCCGUCAGAAGUGCUCCCCUCCGGCACGCGCUGCCAGCAGCAGCAUCUCUUCCAAGAUCUCUCCCAAGAUGAUUUGUUGGAGCCUGCCUAGGCACGUUCCUGUGUGAGGAACUUGGUGAGCAACCUACUCAUGUGAGGCCAGAGAGCAUCCAGGAUUCCCUGAGGGAGGCAGAGGAGUCCCUGCAGAACUCCUCAUGCGUCCCCAUGGGGCAGGACACAAGAUUUGGGAAAAACCUUCCAUGCCUUUGUUAACUCACCCACAAAAUGAGUGGAUUGGUGCAGUGGAGCCCCUCACAUUGACACAGCCAGCUCUUGUCCCAGCCAGGUGAGGCUGUGCCAGGCAGGGCAGCCUGGCAAUCCUGAGACAUAACAGGGAGCUGUACAUCCCCAAGAUGGCUUGGGAGUUCCAGGUAAUCACAGUAUGGAGCAUAACGUGGAUUUAUAUUUGUUACUUUACUUGCCUAUGGUACCUCCCAAGAGCCUUCUGAGGCAUUCCAUUCUUUAAUAAGCUGAAAGUGCUCCGAGAUUUUUCUAAUGAAAAUGAUAUAGGAGCACACAGUGUUAUUAUUAAAACCUCUCUCUUUUUCUCUAGGAACUGCUAAAAUACAUUUACAGUUUAUAUCCUUUUUGGUGAGCAUUAAACUUUCUAAUUUAAAAUAAUAAAGCCUGGUUUGCUCGCUUUC